UCAAAAGAAAAAACAUACACGAUGAGGCUGUCGUCAAGCUGGGUUUCUUCUCUCCCCCAUUCCUCUCUCCGGUCUCCAGCCAAAGAAGCCUUCCCGAUCUGAACGCCGGCCACCACCUGGAGCGCGAGGGAGCUCCGGCCGCCUCCCCACACCGUCCUCCUUGCCGUAGCUGCCCCGCUGCAGGCGGCCGCGUCAUCCCGCCGCACCGGCCGGUCUCGACGCAGCCGGUGCCCUCCUCCGCUUCGGGGGCCCUCCCCGACGACGGAGAGAUACUUGUGCAGCCGCGAACGGCUGAAGGGGGCUCGCGGUGGAGCGGGAGAAGACGCCGGCCGCCCCGCUGCGACGGAACAGCACUACAACACCAGCCAUACCUACUUGGCAAUCAAGUGACAUGGAGGCCGAAAACAGCGAGGUGGCUGCUCUGGUCGAGAAGAUCACCGGCCUCCACGCCGCCAUCUCCAAGCUCGCGUCUCUAAGCCCGUCCCCCGAAGUCGACGCGCUCUUCACGGAGCUGGUCGCGGCGUGCGUCCCGUCGAGCCCGGUGGACGUGACCAAGCUCGGCCCGGAGGCGCAGGAGAUGCGGCAGGACCUCAUCCGCCUCUGCUCGGCCGCCGAGGGGCUGCUCGAGGCGCACUACUCCAACAUGCUCACCGCCUUGGACAACCCGCUCGACCACCUCGGCCGCUUCCCUUACUUCGACAACUACAUCAACCUGAGCAAGCUCGAGCACGAUCUUCUUGCCGGUCACGUGGCGGCCCCGGCCCGCGUGGCGUUCAUCGGGUCGGGGCCGCUGCCGUUCAGCUCCCUCUUCCUCGCGAUGUACCACCUGCCGGACACCCGGUUCGACAACUACGACCGGUGCAGCGUGGCCAAUGGCCGUGCGAUGAAGCUGGUCGGCGCGGCGGACGAGGGCGUGCGUGCGCGCAUGGCGUUCCACACGGCCGAAGUCGCGGACCUCACGGCUGAGCUCGGCGCGUAUGAUGUGGUCUUCCUGGCGGCGCUCGUGGGAAUGACGUCCGAGGAGAAGGCCAACACCAUCGCGCACUUGGGGAAGCACAUGGCAGAUGGCGCGGUGCUCGUCGCGCGAAGCGCCCACGGUGCGCGAGCGUUCCUGUAUCCUGUAGUGGAGCUGGACGAUAUCGGGCGUGGCGGGUUCCAAGUGCUGGCUGUGCACCAUCCUGCGGGCGAUGAGGUGUUCAACUCAUUUAUUGUUGCGCGGAAGGUAAAGAUAUCACAAGAAAUGAGUGCUUAAGAAAGAGGGGAGCCUGGCUGCCUGAGCAAUUGUGUUUCACAUUGAUACAGGAGCAUAUUUCUACCGUGGGCACUAUAGGGUGCUCAUGGCAGCACGAAUGUAUAUGGACUACAAUUGAGGGUGUGGCAGACGGAGAGAUGUCAUUCAAGUAAGACGGGGAUGUCAACUUGCUGCUGAGUGAUUGGCAUCUUAAGAACAAUUACAACCAGAUGGUUGGCCUCGUGGAACAUGAGAUGUAUCAGCGAGCCACAGGCGAUUUGUCGCGGUUUUGUGGUCUUUUUGGAAUAUUUGGCGCAAAAGAAGAGCAUAAUCUGAGCUGACGGAAGCAUGUCCUGCAGCACCCAGAGGAUGGAUGGGCACAUAUUCGCUUCCCCUCGAGCCGCGUGAUAUCUCAUGUGGCUCUGCCGCGUCGCGAGCACGGCCGUGAUGAGCGUCACCUCUCUCGUAGCAGCCGAAUUCGAGUAGGAUGAGAUCCCUGUUGAUGAUUCCUUGACUGAAAUUUCUUCAUCUAGCCAUUGGACGAAGACAAGCAAGACGGCUGUGCGUUUCUCUACAUGGCUGGGCUAGUCCAGGCGAAUCUCGUGCCAAGCAUGCCGUGUCAGUGCAUUUUGCUUUUACCUCAGUUGCUUGCAAGACACUGAUUGCUGUUAAAUGAAAUCGGAGAGGGAGCUCUCUUUUAUAAAAAAAAAUAAAAAAUCUCA